UGACCACUUUCCGCUUUGAUUUAAGGAAAGUUAAGGCAACGGUGUGCCGGGUCAAAUGCCGA
rnacentral:sRNA from 2 species